CAAGCUCGCACUCCACCUGCAGGGAAGUGGAAGCAGGUUCGGACCAAUCCUGCAAACAUCGAGGGCAAUGCCGAGACUGCACAGGUGCUGGGCCUCACCCCCUGGAUGGACUAUGAGUUCCGGGUCAUAGCCAGCAACAUUCUGGGCACUGGGGAGCCUAGUGGGCCCUCCAGCAAAAUCCGGACCAGGGAAGCAGCCCCCUCGGUGGCACCCUCAGGACUCAGCGGAGGAGGUGGAGCCCCCGGAGAGCUCAUCGUCAACUGGACGGCAGGGCAGCACUCACUGGCAGACCGCCCGGGUGCCUGGCGCCGAUGCCCAGUACUUUGUCUACAGCAACGAGAGCGUCCGGCCCUACACGCCCUUUGAGGUCAAGAUCCGCAGCUACAACCGCCGCGGGGAUGGGCCCGAGAGCCUCACUGCACUCGUGUACUCAGCUGAGGAAGGUGGGCUGCCCCUGGGCCCCCUGCUCGUCCCUACCCCAGCCACUUGUCCACAGGGAUGUGGGGUGGGGGAACGCUACUCAUCUCCCAGCUCAGUUCCAUAGGAGGAGGUUGAGAGGACACCUGGGUUCCACAUCAUUGGCCUCACUUCCAGCUCUUGCUACCUUGUCUCCCUUCGGGGUUAGGAAAAGGGAGGCUCUCUGGGAAUAGAAGUGGGCCCUGGAGCAUUGCUUGGGGGGCUCCCACUCGGCCUUCAUCCUGAAGGCUUUCCUCCAAAAUCUUAAGCAAAGGCAAUCCUGGUUGGGGGCUGCUCUGCAGGACACAGGGGGGCCCUGGGAAUCCAAACCCAUUCUGUAUUGGUCCCCAGAGCCCAGGGUGGCCCCUACCAAGGUGUGGGCCAAAGGGGUCUCAUCCUCAGAGAUGAACGUGACCUGGGAACCCGUGCAGCAGGACAUGAAUGGUAUCCUCCUGGGGUAUGAGGUGAGCACCAACCUGGGACUUGGGAGAGGAAGGGGUGCUGGGGCUUCAAAGCCAGGUGGGAACAACUCACAGACCACUAAUCAUUCCUCCUGGCGUCCCUGGUUCGCUGACAUGGCAAACUGAGCAUC
rnacentral:lncRNA from 1 species